rnacentral:misc_RNA from 1 species
GAUGAAGAACGCAGCAAAAUGCGAUAAGUAAUGUGAAUUGCAGAAUUCAGUGAAUCAUCGAAUCUUUGAACGCACAUUGCGCCCGCCAGUAUUCUGGCGGGCAUGCCUGUUCGAGCGUCAUUUCAACCCUCAAGCCCUCGGGUUUGGUGUUGGGGAUCGGCGAGCCUUUCUGGCAAGCCGGCCCCGAAAUCUAGUGGCGGUCUCGCUGCAGCCUCCAUUGCGUAGUAGUAAAACCCUCGCAACUGGAACGCGGCGCGGCCAGGCCGUUAAACCCCCAACUUCUGAAUGUUGACCUCGGAUCAGGUAGGAAUACCCGCUGAACUUAAGCAUAUCAAUAAGCGGAGGA